AUACGGAGGGUGCGAGCGUUAAUCGGAAUUACUGGGCGUAAAGCGCGCGUAGGCGGUCAAAUAAGUCUGAUGUGAAAGCCCUGGGCUUAACCUGGGAAUGGCAUUGGAUACUGUUUGGCUAGAGUGCAGGAGAGGAGAGUGGAAUUCCCGGUGUAUCGGUGAAUGCGUAGAUAUCGGGAGGAACACCAGUGGCGAAGGCGGCUCUCUGGACUGACACUGACGCUGAGGUGCGAAAGCGCGGGUAGCAAACAGGAUUAGAAACCCUAGUAGUCC
rnacentral:rRNA from 1 species